rnacentral:tRNA from 1 species
CAGGGAGACAACAAAAUGUUUAAUAUUAUUAUUUUGUCACCUUAGGUCGAUCGGUAUCUCACGUUUUUAAUUUAUUAAGAAUUUCAUUUCCUAAGUUUUUCUAGGUCACACCCAUUAUUUUUCCUGGGCCAUUAGCUCAGGUGGUUAGAGCGCACCCCUGAUAAGGGUGAGGUCCCUGGUUCAAGUCCAGGAUGGCCCAUAUCUCUAUGUUGGGGGUAUAGCUCAGUUGGUAGAGCGCCUGCUUUGCAAGCAGGAUGUCAGCGGUUCGAGUCCGCUUACCUCCACUGAUUACCACCUCUUCCAUAAUUUAUAGAAGGGAAAUUUUUGAGUUGUGAUCAUUAUUCUGAACGAAUCUAGCUUCCUAAUGCAAAUCAUUAAGAUGCUGGACUCAUUGAAUUAAUUUCAUUGUUUUCAGAGAACCUUGACAACUGCAUAGAUUAUUUUUAAAGACAAUAAGCAUCUUUAAUGAUGCAGAUUUAUUAUUUGUGCGAAUGCAUUAAUAACAAUUCUAUUAAGCUGAUGCUUCAAUUUUUGAAGUUAUU